GCCCGCGUAGCUCAAUUGGAUAGAGCGUCGGCCUCCGAAGCCGAAGGUUGCAGGUUCGAGCCCCGCCGCGGGUA
rnacentral:tRNA from 1 species